rnacentral:rRNA from 1 species
GACGAACGCUGGCGGCGUGCCUAAUACAUGCAAGUCGAACGCAGUGGGGACGGGUGAGUAACACGUGGGUAACCUCCCAUCAAAGGGGUUAACACUUGGAAACAGCUGCUAAACCGCUACUGAUGGAUGGACCCGGGGUGCAUUAGCUAGUGGGUGGGGUAACGGCUCACCAAGGCCACGAUGCAUAGCUGGUCUGAGAGGAUGACCGGCCACACUGGGACUGAGACACGGCCCAGACUCCUACGGGAGGCAGCAGUAGGGAAUAUUCGGCAAUGGACGAAAGCCUGACCGAGCCACGCCGCGUGAGUGAAGAAGGUUUUCGGAUUGUAAAGUUCUGUUGGUGGAGAAGCGGUAUCUAACCAGAAAGCAACGGCUAACUACGUGCCAGCAGCCGCGGUAAUUC